rnacentral:rRNA from 1 species
AAAGGAAUAGACGGGGGCCCGCACAAGCAGCGGAGCAUGUUGUUUAAUUCGAUGCAACGCGAAGAACCUUACCAUGUCUUGACAUUGAGGUAAAGCGCUAGAAAUAGCGUCAGGAUUCGUCCGACCGAAAACAGGUGGUGCAUGGUUGUCGUCAGCUCGUGUCGUGAGAUGUUGGGUUAAGUCCCGCAACGAGCGCAACCCUUAUGAUCAGUUACUAACGGAUAAUGCCGAGGACUCUGAUAAGACUGCCGGGGAUAACUCGGAGGAAGGUGGGGACGACGUCAAAUCAUCAUGCCCCUUAUGACAUGGGCUACAAACGUGCUACAAUGGCAACUACAAAGAGAAGCGACCCUGUAAAGGCAAGCGGAUCUCAAAAAAGUUGUCCCAGUUCGGAUUGUGGGCUGCAACCCGCCCACAUGAAGUUGGAGUUGCUAGUAAUCGCGGAUCAGAAUGCCGCGGUGAAUACGUUCCCGGGCCUUGUACACACCGCCCGU